rnacentral:rRNA from 1 species
UACGGAGGGGGCUAGCGUUGUUCGGAUUUACUGGGCGUAAAGCGCACGUAGGCGGAUCGUUAAGCCGGGGGUGAAAUCCUGGAGCUCAACUCCAGAACUGCCUUCGAUACUGGCGAUCUUGAGUCCGGAAGAGGUGAGUGGAACUCCUAGUGUAGAGGUGGAAUUCGUAGAUAUUAGGAAGAACACCAGUGGCGAAGGCGGCUCACUGGUCCGGUACUGACGCUGAGGUGCGAAAGCGUGGGGAGCAAACAGG